rnacentral:lncRNA from 1 species
UUCAAUUUGAAUUUCAGUUCCAAUUUCUCUCUUCGUGCCUAAUCGCUCUGCAUUUCAUAGGUACCUUCUGUCAUCUUCCCUCCUCAUUUGAUGGUUUAAAUGUGUGCUCCAUUCUUCAGCCACCACCGCACCCGAUCCGUGGUCAUUGCCGGUGCCAUUGGUGGAAUUGCCACCGCCGCGGCGGUUGGAGGGAAGCAGGCAUUGAAGAAAUACAUAUCAAUCUAGCGAAUGAUUAGGUCAAGAGAGUAGAAUGGGCAUAGUAGCACAAAUUACACGAAUACUUUCAAGCUAUUUGUCUUUUUAUUACUUUUUUGUUGUUGUGCCUCAUUGAAGAAUUUAU